AACGAACGCUGGCGGCAUGCCUAACACAUGCAAGUCGAACGAGACCUUCGGGCCUAGUGGCGCACGGGUGCGUAACACGUGGGAAUUUGCCUCGGGGUAUGGAAUAACUCAGGGAAACUUGAGCUAAUACCAUAUAAUGUCUUCGGACCAAAGAUUUAUCGCCCUGAGAUAAGCCCGCGUAGGAUUAGCUAGUUGGUGGGGUAAAGGCUCACCAAGGCGACGAUCCUUAGCUGGUCUGAGAGGAUGAUCAGCCACACUGGGACUGAGACACGGCCCAGACUCCUACGGGAGGCAGCAGUGGGGAAUAUUGGACAAUGGGCGAAAGCCUGAUCCAGCAAUGCCGCGUGAGUGAUGAAGGCCUCGGUGUAAG
rnacentral:rRNA from 1 species